UAGGAUUAUGGUUCGUGGGUUCACUGGGGGUGGGAAAGUGAUCGGGCGCGGCGCGGCGCAGGCGGCAGUCGAGCCGAUACUCCGGGGACUGGCGGCGGCGCGGGCACCUUGCCAGCGUUCGCGCGCCGCGCCACUUGUGCUCUAUUACACCACACGACACGCGCUCCCGAUUACACUUUCAAUAUGAAUAAUUCAGACACGAUUGUUUCAAAGUAUAUCGAUUAAGGACUUCGCUAGGAAUUCACAGAUGGGCAAAUGACGCCACUCCAGUGUAUAAUUUUAAUGCUGGUGAAAACACUUUUAAACACUGAAAGAAAACCAUAGAACUUCCAAAAAUACUCAAAGAAUACAAAAAUAUUCAACAGUGCUGCAUUGACGUCAGCCACUCAUGAAUGGCCACUCGACGUAAAAAAAUGGAAACAUGGAAAUUUUCUUUAUCUCAUAGUUACUCGUACUAACUACAAACAUCUACUGAGAAUUCUUGUAAUAAUAUUUACGUUUGUUCGUUGCCAAGAAAACAUCUACAUUGCUUUUAAUUCAUUUGUUUUAUUUACGAAUACAUUCGUGUAUAUUUGAUUCAAGUAGGUAGGUGAAUUUGACGAGGAAAUUAAAAAACUGUAACAAUUAAUACAAAAGAAGACGUCAAAUUAAACGCAUUUUAAAAUAGAAGCUUGUAUAUUAUUAGUAACAUUAAACAUUUUUUAUUCCUUU